rnacentral:lncRNA from 1 species
AAAUUACUUUGGCUAAAAUGCAGAGCUCUUGUACAAGAGAAGUGGGAAACAACACUGGAGAAAAAUGGGGGCCAAUAUAUAAGGACUAGAAGGAAGGAUAGUAAAUACUUCAGGAACUCAGAGAACUAGCAGCUAACAUGAAGAUGGAAUGUGGCACUACCAAUCUAUUUCCUCUCACCUUUGCUGAAGAAAGACAUCCCAGAAGACUUCAUUUCUUAAAAUUGCAUCUGCUGACAAAUUCUAACAUGAGAAUGUGCCAAGAUAUCGCCUGUUGUUGUUGCCGAGACAGAUGCAGCUGCUGGAGUUGGUGAACAGUGAAUGUUAGAAGCUCCCUGUGAAAACUGCUUUUUCCAGAAGCCCCUGAGUGAUCCAAGAUACCGUGCUCACAUCAG